GACGAACGCUGGCGGCGUGCCUAAUACAUGCAAGUAGAACGCUGAAGGAGGAGCUUGCUCUUCUGGAUGAGUUGCGAACGGGUGAGUAACGCGUAGGUAACCUGCCUGGUAGCGGGGGAUAACUAUUGGAAACGAUAGCUAAUACCGCAUAACAGUAGAUGUUGCAUGACAUUUGCUUAAAAGGUGCAAUUGCAUCACUACCAGAUGGACCUGCGUUGUAUUAGCUAGUUGGUGGGGUAACGGCUCACCAAGGCGACGAUACAUAGCCGACCUGAGAGGGUGAUCGGCCACACUGGGACUGAGACACGGCCCAGACUCCUACGGGAGGCAGCAGUAGGGAAUCUUCGGCAAUGGACGGAAGUCUGACCGAGCAACGCCGCGUGAGUGCAGAAGGUUUUCGGAUCGUAAAGCUCUGUUGUAAGAGAAGAACGAGUGUGAGAGUGGAAAGUUCACACUGUGACGGUAUCUUACCAGAAAGGGACGGCUAACUACGUG
rnacentral:rRNA from 1 species